GCCCUGAUAGCUCAGUUGGUAGAGCAAGGGACUGAAAAUCCCUGUGUCGCCGGUUCGAUUCCUGCUUAGGGCA
rnacentral:tRNA from 1 species